rnacentral:rRNA from 1 species
GACGAACCGUGCAAACGUUAUUCGGAAUCACUGGGCAUAAAGGGCGCGUAGGCGGCUCCAAAAGUCAGGGGUGAAAUCCGGCAGCUUAACUGUCGCAGUGCCUUUGAUACUGUGGAGCUAGAGGGAGGUAGGGGUCUGUGGAACUUCCGGUGGAGCGGUGAAAUGCGUUGAUAUCGGAAGGAACGCCGGUGGUGAAAGCGACGGACUGGAUCUCUUCUGACGCUGAGGCGCGAAAGCCAGGGGAGCAAACGGG